GUGCUCGUUUUGGAGAUAGUAAGUGGGAAGAAAAAUAGAGGAUUUCAUCAUCCUGAUCACGACCUCAACCUCUUGGGACAUGCUUGGAAUCUAUGGACGGAAGGAAAUCCUAUGGAUCUUUUGGAUGCCUCAUUGGUGAUUCUCAAUUCAGAUUCAGAAUCUGAAGUGUUAAGAUGUAUCCAUGUCGGCUUGUUGUGUGUACAACAACGCCCCGAAGACAGGCCUACUAUGUCUAAUGUUUUAUUAAUGUUAGACAUCGAGCACCCGAUGGUUUCUCAACCUAAACAACCUGGUUUUUACUCGGAAAGAUCUCUUAAUGACAUGGCUAUGUCUUCAUCAACAGGAAAUAAGCCUCCUACUUCUAAUGAAAUUAGUGUAACAUUAUUACAAGGUCGGUAGAUGCCUUUUUCUCUAUAUGUGUGUGUAUAUAUUUUUCAUUUUGAUGGUAAAUUAAUCAAUAUUAGUACAAAAGAAAGAAUUGCUUUAGCUGAGUAAACAAGAAGUUCCACUUUUGUAUUGCUAUUGUUAGUCCA